rnacentral:sRNA from 1 species
CUCAUCUCUGGGGGAUCCUGAAACUCCGCCACAUCUGGAACCUGAAGUUGAUGCGUUGGACCCCUGCAGCUGCAGACAUCUGCUUCACCAAGGAGCUACACUCCCACUUCUUCAGCUUGGGCAAGUGUGUGCCUGUGUGCCGAGGAGAUGGCGUCUACCAGAAGGGGAUGGACUUCAUUUUGGAGAAGCUCAACCAUGGGGACUGGGUGCAUAUCUUCCCAGAAGGUCAGCAGGGCUGACUGGGUCGAGCCCCCCCAGUAUGAGCGGGAUGGGCUCCCAAGCUUCGCCUCUGUGCUCUCUCACCAGGGAAAGUGAACAUGAGUUCCGAAUUCCUGCGUUUCAAGUGGGGUAAGGGCUGCUGGUCUCUGGCCACAGCCAUCCUCCCGGC